AGUGUCGUGGCAUCGGGAGAGAGCAUUGCGACACUUGACCAUUUUCCGCACGAGCGCUCAAGCAUUUGCACAUCUUGACCUUCAAGCACCAUUCUAUGGUGCUCACUACUACAAAUUUGACAUUUCUUGAUGCACAUCUUGACCUUCAAGCACCAUUCUACGCCAUUUUACGGUGCUCACUACUAUAUGAUUUUUUGAAGGCAUUUUGAUUUUCAGUUUAUUGCUUGAACAGAAGUUGAAAAAUGAGUUUUGGAGUCCUAAGGCAACGAAUUGCAUUUGGAGGAUCUAAUUUGGAGAAAAAGAUUUGAAGCUGCAGGCCCAACAAACAUCUAAUGCUCCUAAAAAGAGUGAGAAGAAGAGAUCUAUAGGAGGUGGAGAUGUAGAAAAUGUCGAGGCUUUUGUUAAUCCUGACACCCCUUUUGGUAAAAAGAACUAUUGUCUCAGCAAAUGGCAAAGCAAUAGAAUCUGGGUGCCGUGGAGAAAUCGAUGCCGUUGUUCGAUGGUAGAGAAUGUCUAGAUACAACACUUAAUGGGUUUCUGUGACAGACCACACUACUAAAGCUUUCAAAUUUUGCAUUUUACUUUUCUUUUCCUUUGGCAUUAUUGAUGGGAUGGGUCAUGCAUUAGUAAGCAUGAUAAUAAAGUUUUUUCCUUAGUGGUUGAAUACAAUUAAAAUAGUAUUGUCAUUAUCUAUCAUUUUGAUGUUCGCUUAACAUGUAAAUUAUAAAUUAUAAAUGAAAGACAUAGCAUCUAAUCUGGUUAAAGUAA